rnacentral:sRNA from 1 species
CCUGUUUCCUUUGGGGAGUAGCCUCUCGAUCUAUCGAGACCAUCGUCAACAUAAUUGAAGCAAAAUCUUCAUGGCGAUUGUGACUCACAUUUUCCCUACGAGUGAGUU